AGAAACUGCAGGUUAAAGGGUGAAAAGCAGUUGCGAAGUCCCCACAGCUUGGAAAUGGUGGAGCCGAGACUGAAACCCAGGUGUGCUAGCAUCUAAAGUUCAUGCUCUUUCCACCACAUUAGACUGUAUUCUGAGGGCACCAAGGAAGCUCCAUUUUUCUUAAGAAACCAAAUUGCAGUCCUCCAGGACCACAGCCAGGGGAGCAUCUUCGUGGGAGAGUGGCUGCUGCUCAGAGUUGUGACUCCCAUCCUUAAGAGUCCUCUGUCCUCUCUGGCCUCCUUUCUACUGAUCAUUGCUGUCCCCUUCACAGGGGAGAGGGGCCAUGGCCUAUCCCCUAAAGAGUCUGCCAAGGUAGACUCAUAACCUCCCCGUGGCACAGCUCAGACAAGCUGGGCUAUUUACAUAAGACUUGACCCAGGGCUUGAGGACAGCGCGAGGAAUGAGGUGCAGAGGAGACUGCUGCUUCUGGGUGACAGUCUGCCUGGCUGACCACAGCUGGGGUACUCAUUGGCCUCUUGAGGCCCCCCACAGGCCUGCCCUGCCUGACCUACUCUUGUGAGGCCAAGGCCAUCUCCUCCACUCUCUGGGGGCCUCUUCUGACUCCUCCAAACUCUUCCAUGUCUGGACUCCUGGCUUCUGCCCAAGGCCAUCUAUUGGAGUUUGGGUUUCCAGUUGAGGAUCUGCCUUUUUCCUGGAUGACCAAACCUAGAAUGUGACCGGCCUCAUGCUCCCUCCUCACAAGGGUGUGGCUUUAUCCGAGGGCCUCAGCAAGGCAACCAACACCAGACAUGAAGCUGACAGAUGGGAAGUCUUGACUCAUUACCCGCUGGAGACUUUUCCUGCUGGGCUCUGCACUGUCAACUGUGAGAGAGGGAAAUAAAACGUACUGUACAGUCCAA
ensembl:lncRNA MSH2-OT1 MSH2 overlapping transcript 1